UGUGCUUUUGCUUGUAAUGGUGUUAUAUCCACCACAAGGUGGCGCCUGUCGCUCCCUGAUGAGUCUGGGAGGACUGUGGCGGACGGGAGAGAAACAGGAAGUAGGAGAAGAAAAAUGAGACGAACGUUACAAGAAGCGAGAAAAGCUCAUUGUUUUCUGUGUGGGGAGACUGAAUAAGUCGACGAAAUUCACUAUUUUUUGUUCUUUUGGUUCAGAAGUUGAUAUUUUUGAAGCUACGCCUGUUAUCAGAGGACGGAAGCAGAUGGAUAUUUGAUGUGUCUAUGUGUCUAUUCUCCGGUUGUUUUUUUGUGCCUGAUAUCUACAUGGAGGAAACGGCGACAGGGCGGUUUUCGAGGCGUUGGAGGUGUUUCGGUCGUUGCCAUAACUACGGGAAGAGCCGCUCUGUGGACUGGAUCUGAACUUCGAUUGGAGGACAGAUAAGAUUUCCACACAAGAAAAGAAACACAUAUGGGAAAACAGAAACUGAAAUGACUGAAACUGAACUACUGUGGAAGAAAUUCCGACUGACUUUUUAUUUCUUUUGACUUGACUAAAUAACUUAAGAAGCUUCUUUGGGGAAAGGAAAUAUAACUGGAAUUUGUUUAUUUUGUUUAUAAAAUCUACUGUGUAGUAAAGAAGAAAAAGUUACAGUUGUACCCGGGUACAGUAAAUUUUAUUUUGUUAAUUAUCUUUAUUCCUAUGUGCUCAAACCUCUCUGGAGGAACAGAGAUGAAUUUAUUUCCUUGCCGAAUGUGAUGCACAGUACUUUACUUUUUUAUUUUCUUUCUGUUAAAGCCGAGUGUAGCAGGUGAAUCAGCGCUAAGAGAGACAUCCUUUGUUAUUAAAUGCACCCAGUUGUUUCAAACGAA